rnacentral:lncRNA from 1 species
GUCAAAUCUCGCAUUCUGCUAGUGUUGACCUUUGGUCAUUAAAAAUUCAAUAUCUGGACUUGCAGAAGUCCAAUUGAUGCAAACUCAAUUGUUUUGGAUUCCUGACUCAAAGGCCUACAAACGCUCCAAAUUGCAGCCAAAAAAGAUUUCAUAUGAGGGAGAUAUGAUUUUUCAAAGAUGAAAACUGAAUUCUGCCAGCAAACAGGUUUCGUGAAGAAACGAAUCCAUAUUACAUCCCGAAGCAUCCAAACCGACAUCCAAGUUUUUAUUUCAGCAAUUUAGCUCCUCUAGUAAAUCAAUCCAGAAUGUCAAGGAAGGCAGCCACCAACCUCAAACCACCACCCAC